AGAGAUGAGAGAAGGGGACGACGUCAGGAGGUGCCACCACUCGCCGAUCCCUCAGCGGCUCUAAUUUGUUCUAGAAAGCUGCUGAUUUCUAGUUCACAAAAUCAAUCUUGUUCAACCUCACACAACAGAGGACCUUCUCAGAUCAUUUCUCUCUGAGAAUUAGGCCUGCUGGUGAGAAGGAUGGAUGUAAGGGACUUGCCUGAGAAGACCCGGGCCUCCAGUCGGGUGACCGCCCUCCGAUUUUAAGCAAGAGGGAGAUGGGGAAACUGCUGCUUUGCUCGGCCUUCAUCGUAUUACCCUCAAAAUCGAAGCCCUCCAUCAUGCUCAUAUAUAUUUCUAUAUGGAUUACGCUGUUUUUGGUGAGAUGAUAAAUAAGCUUAAUUGGGAGUGUGUUUUGGGCUUUUGAGGAGGGAAAAAGAGGAUGAAUUUUUUGGGUUCAAUAUCGUAGAAAUGAAUCACUCAGCCAAGGGUUCUAGCUUGCCUUUAUAUAGAGUUUUUUUUUUCUUCUUCGAAAGUGUGGAGACAAAAAUUGAAUAAAUUAUUUUUGGGCGAACCUACAUUUCCAUUA